GAUGAACGCUGGCGGCGUGCCUAAUACAUGCAAGUCGAGCGAACGGACGAGAAGCUUGCUUCUCUGAUGUUAGCGGCGGACGGGUGAGUAACACGUGGAUAACCUACCUAUAAGACUGGGAUAACUUCGGGAAACCGUAGCUAAUACCGGAUAAUAUUUUGAACCGCAUGGUUCAAAAGUGAAAGACGGUCUUGCUUUCACUUAUAGAUGGAUCCGCGCUGCAUUAGCUAGUUGGUAAGGUAACGGCUUACCAAGGCAACGAUGCAUAGCCGACCUGAGAGGGUGAUCGGCCACACUGGAACUGAGACACGGUCCAGACUCCUACGGGAGGCAGCAGUAGGGAAUCUUCCGCAAUGGGCGAAAGCCUGACGGAGCAACGCCGCGUGAGUGAUGAAGGUCUUCGGAUCGUAAAACUCUGUUAUUAGGGAAGAACAUAUGUGUAAGUAACUGUGCACAUCUUGACGGUACCUAAUCAGAAAGCCACGGCUAACUACGUG
rnacentral:rRNA from 1 species